CUAGACACACUUUAAAUGCUGCUCCCCCCCACCUCAGUCCUAAACGGUGCACCCAGUACGAGCUGUUUUGAAAAUUCAUAAGUUCUUUGCUUAAAAAAAAAAAAGCCCAUGACAAAGCAUUAUGAGGUUGCAGUGAGUCUGAAUUUCAGGGCCUGGACUAAGGCUAAUUAUUCUCUCGGGGCCUGAUUAUGCCACCUUUACUCAUGCUGAAUACUUGGUCACGUGCAUAAUCCGUUCCAGUGAGUAAUGGGCCUAUCGUCUGUGAUGCACUGUGUUGUUCAAAGGAUGCAGAAUAUGAAACAGAUGGCUCAGGAAGCCCAGCAGAAAGACCUGCUGGGCCCUUUCUGAUGUCACCUUAAAGCCAGAAAGGAUGGGUGCCUAAAAGCGAGGUGCCACAGUUCUGAGUAUCGCAACACCCUAGUCCUUUUGUGGAUUUGGUCCUUAUAGUUUUAAGGAUAAGUUUGGGGAGGAAGAAUGGUCUUGUGGUUAAAGCAUAGGACGGAAAAUCAGAAGAUCUGGUAACUGUUCCUGUGUCGAACACCUUGAGCCAAUCAUCUACCUUCUCUAUAACUCAAGUUUUCUCAUCUGUAAAAAAGGAAUCAUUUCACUAUAACUCAGGCAAAUUAUUAGACUUGUUGUUGUUGUUGUUAAAUAUACAGAAUCUUGGAUGGAAGGUACUUUAAAUGUCAUAUACUUUUAUUAUAAAAUUUAAAAGAUAUAAAGAUCUGAAGCCUAACGGUGACUGAAUGUUGUUUGGGAGAAUUUAGUAGGCGUUUUAGCAUUAAGGCAAAAGUACUACGUAAAGUGGGUUUC